rnacentral:rRNA from 1 species
ACUCAAAGGAAUUGACGGGGGCUCACACAAGCGGUGGAGCAUGUGGCUUAAUUCGAGGCUACGCGAAGAACCUUUCCCGGGUUUGACAUGUGCGAAAGCGAGAGGAAGUAGCCCGCGGAAACGUGGGGCCAACGGUAUCCAGUCCGGAACCUCUCACAGGUGCUGCAUGGCUGUCGUCAGCUCGUGUCGUGAGAUGUCGGGUUAAGUCCCAUAACGAGCGAAACCCCUGUCUCCAGUUGCCAGCGUAAAGUCGGGGACUCUGGAGAGACUGCCGGCGUGAAGCCGGAGGAAGGUGGGGAUGACGUCAAGUCCUCAUGGCCUUUAUGCCCGGGGCUGCACACGUGCUACAAUGGCAUGCACAAAGGGAGGCGAACGCGCGAGCGGGAGCAAAACCCAAAAAACAUGCCCCAGUUCAGAUCGAAGGCUGCAACUCGCCUUCGUGAAGUUGGAAUCGCUAGUAAUCGCGGGUCAGCAACACCGCGGUGAAUGUGUUCCUGAGCCUUGCACACACCGCCCGU